AGCGUGACGUCGGAGACGUCUGUCAGUGAGUCAGUCGGAGUCGGUCGCUCUGUAUUAUUAUCGCGGUGUUCGCGUUCGCCUGUUACGCUUACGUCUACUUCGUCGAACGGAAACUCGCGUUCUAUGACAACGUUCGGAGAUAGUACGGGCGUCUCUUCCUCGGCAAAACGCGAAUCUAAAUUUUGUCGAACUUGAUCUAAUCCGUCUUGCUCAGCGGGCCGGUCUAACCCUUCGCUUUCAGCGGGCCGGUUUACCCCUUCGCUUUCAGCGGGCCGGUUUAACCCUUCGCUUUCGGAUCGCGUCGCACUCACCGGGUUAACUAGGUUACGCGAAGCGCGGUGCGCGGACUCGCUAUGGACGAACGACGUUUGUCGGACGGGCGUCUGUUGGUUCGGGUCGUCCGACAUCUACUUAGCGCUCGCGGAUAUAAUAAUUUUCGCACUUACAAUAUCGCCGCGAAUCGCAUGUUGCUGCCUGUCUGCAUCGCCUGGUCGUCGGGCCGCUUCGCUGCUUGGCUGCGUCCCUGUCGUCGCUGCGUCCCUGUUGCGCUGCUAUGCUGCUUCGCUGUGUCCCUGCGUCGUCGCUCGGGCCGGUGAUGCCGUGCGACGUGAGAUGGCGAUGUGGGCUGGUCCUUCCUCGCAAGAUGGCUGAAACGAUCCCACCGCUGCCACCAAAUUGUUAGCCGGGUAUCGGCUAAGGGGAUCGAGUUCCGCUCGCGAGCGAGAAAGGAGUGGAUCAACACGUCCGAUUUCCAAUUUAUGUCUUUAUUAAAUAAAUGGGCUUGUUCUACA